rnacentral:rRNA from 1 species
UGCGCUUACAAUCCGUCAGAGCCCUCUCUUUGAGUGGGGUGAUGGCGUGCCUUUUGAAGAAUGAGCCUGCGAGUCAGGGACAUGUCGCGAGGUUAACCCGGGUGGGGUAGCCGUAGCGAAAGCGAGUCUGAAUAGGGCGUAUCCAAGUCGUAGGGCUUGGUGUAGUGGUGUGUUCUGGACCCGAAGCGGAGUGAUCUACCCAUGGCCAGGGUGAAGCGCGGGUAAGACCGCGUGGAGG